GACGAACCGUGCGAACGUUAUUCGGAAUCACUGGGCUUAAAGCGCGUGUAGGCGGGCCGCCACGUCGGCUGCUGAAAUCCCCCGGCUCAACCGGGGAACGGGCACCGAUACGAGCGGCCUCGAGGGGGGUAGGGGGGUCUGGAACUUCCGGUGGAGCGGUGAAAUGCGCAGAUAUCAGGAGGAACACCGGUGGCGAAGGCGGGUCUCUGGGCCGAUACUGACGCUGAGGAGCGAAAGCGUGGGGAGCGAACAGG
rnacentral:rRNA from 1 species